CGGAGCAUAGCUUAACAGCUUAAAGCACCUCCCUUACACCGAGUUGACGC
rnacentral:tRNA from 1 species